rnacentral:misc_RNA from 1 species
GAUGAAGAACGCAGUGAAAUGCGAUAAGUAAUGUGAAUUGCAGAAUUCAGUGAAUCAUCGAAUCUUUGAACGCACCUUGCGCCCUUUGGCUAUUCCGAAGGGCAUGCCUGUUUGAGUAUCAUGAACACCUCAACCCUCAUGGUUUGCCAUGAUGGGCUUGGACUUUGGGGGUCUUGCUGGAUUGUAGUCAGCUCCCCUUAAAUGAAUCAGCUUGCCAGUGUUUGGUGGCAUCACAGGUGUGAUGAAUAUCUACGCUUGUGGUUUUACAUCAGAUAACCUUCAGUGAUGGAGGUUCACUGGAGCUCAUAAAGGUGUCUCUCCUCUGUGAGGACAGCUCUUUGAAUGUUUGAUCUCAAAUCAGGCAGGACUACCCGCUGAACUUAAGCAUAUCAAUAAGCGGAGGA